UAUCUGGAAUUUGUUUCCAAAUAUUGCAUAAGAGAGCAAUUAUUUUGUUGUGUCAGCAUCAUCAGGGAAUUGAUAGAUUGGGACCUGGUUGAUGGGAACAUGGAGGUACUCUUAUUCCUCUGUCUCCCUAUUUUGGUGUUUUCAUUUUUCCUUAAUGCACACUUAGAAGAAACUUACAAGAAAAGAUGAUUAGUGUGGGGCAGUAUCAGAGAUGGGUGAUUUUGGCAUUCUACAGAAGGGUCAUGGACAUGAGUUAGACAUGGGUAGCCUUCUCCCACAUGUGGUCUCACAGAUCUCAGACACCAUAAAGAAAAAAUUAAACUAAUCUGACACAUAAAAAUUAAAAACAGCUUUAUGGUGAAAGACCCCAUCAACAAAAGGCAUAAAACACACCAGGGAACAAUAUUUACAACUAUGUACUUAACAACGAGUUAAUAUCCCAAGUAUAUGAAGGGUUUCUAUAGAUCCAUAAGAAAAUACAACCAACUGAAUGGAGAAACAGGCAAAAUUACAACUGGUAAAUAAAUUCACAGUAGAAAUAAAAUCAGA